UCAGGGUGAUAGGAUUCGAACCUACGACAUCUUGCUCCCAAAGCAAGCGCGCUACCAGACUGCGCUACACCCUG
rnacentral:tRNA from 2 species